CAGCCGCGGUAAUACGUAGGGGGCAAGCGUUAUCCGGAAUCACUGGGCGUAAAGGGUCCGCAGGUGUCCCGUUAAGUUAGAUGUUAAAUCGCAAGGCUCAACCUUGCGGCUGCAUCUAAUACUGACAGGAUAGAGGAUAGGUGACGGAAGUGGAAUUCCUGGUGGAGAGGUAAAAUCCGUAGAUAUCAGGAGGAACACCCGUGGCGUAGGCGGCUUCCGAACCUAUUCCUGACACUCAGGGACGAAAGCUGGGGGAGCAAACAGGAUUAGAUACCCUGGUAGUCCUAGCUGUAAACGAUGAAUACUAGAUAGUGGGUGCUACACCGUACUCACCGUCGUAGCUAACGCGUUAAGUAUUUCGCCUGGGAACUACGAUCGCAAGUUUGAAACUCAAAGGAAUUGACGGGUCCCCGCACAAGCAGCGAGGCAUGUGGCUUAAUUCGAUGCAACACGAAGAACCUUACCUGGACUUGACAUGUUUCUGAAAGGCCGGAGAAACCCGGUCCCUUCCAGUUUACUGGAACAGUUUCACAGGUGGUGCAUGGUUGUCGUCAGCUCGUGUCGUGAGAUGUAAGGUUAAGUCCUUAAACGAGCGUAACCUUUGUCAUUAGUUGCCACCGGUUCGGCCGAGCACUCUAAUGAGACCGCUAGCGACAAGCUAGAGGAAGAUGGAGAUGACGUCAAAUCCUCACGUCCCUUAUGUCCGGGGCCGCACACAUGCGACAAUGGUAGAGACAGCGGGUUGCGACGGGGUAACCCUGAGCUAAUCCAUAAACUCUGCCUCAGUACAGAUCGAGGGCUGAAAUUCGACCUCGUGAAGAUGGAGUUGCUAGUAAACGCAGGUCAGCUAUACUGCGUUGAAUACGUUCCCGGGGA
rnacentral:rRNA from 1 species